AAUACCGGAAUAAUUACAGAAUAGUUUAAAAGUGCAAAAAGUAAUUAAGGGUUAGGUAAGGCGGUAUUUAAACUAUUACGGAUGUUCUGAUAAUUUUGGCGCUGGUUUGUGGGUUAUUAAAAACCUUUCAGGUUUCCAAAUAGUUUUAUUUAAAACAAAAUUGCCUUAUAUUACCUUAUUUCCGAUGGUGGGAGGGUAUUUACAUAAUUACCAAUAAUGCGAUGGACGUAUUUUUCGGGAUAUCGCAAAAAAAAUAUAAUUGAAAUGUAAAGGAUAUCUUUUAAGGUAUAUUUUAUAUUUGCUCCUGUUUAAUUUUAUAAUUUAUACCCUUUAAUUAUUUUUUGGGCCAAAAAAACCUGCAAAAUUCGUCACGUCGCCUUAAAUGGUUGAAAAAUGGUUAGUAACAGCGGCAGCGAUGGGGAGCGGAAUGUCUAAACUAAGGAAAUUUUUCGCGACAUUUAUUCCAUCCCUUUGUACAACUGGCGCUCCAAUUAACCGGUGAACAUUUUGUUUUUUAUUUGCAUUUUCCAUUAAUAAUCACUCCUUUUAACAAUUUACCCGCAGAUAUAUUGGUAAUAAACCAGGGUAACCCGUGGGACAUAGCCCUGUGGAAUAAUCCACGAAUAAUAUCAGUAAAAAUAUAUUUGAGAUUGCCUAAUGCCGCACACAAUGGCUAUAAUAUUAAUCGUUCGCUUAACCAAAUAAUUACGCAAACCUAAGUUUUUUCAGCUAUGCAGGAGGAUUCCAUAUCCGCGGUUUGGAGCAAAAGCGCAAUCCGAUUUGAGGGCCUGGGGCGAUAAAUUGCGGGGUUCGGCGUUUUAUUGCGACAAUGGGGGUUUACGGGCGGACCGUCUCACAUUUUCUCCAUUAUGCAAAAGGCCACUUGUUCGCAUCCGAUUGGGAAAAACAUACAAAAAUGCGUAUUAGGGUAUACGAACAAUCCUUAUUUAACGUUUUGCACUCUAGUAUUUUAUUACACCGGUUUGUUUCCAAACAAUUACAAGAUCAGUUCCGUGCAAAUGCCUAUAAUUUAAAAACAGCGUUAUUUAUUAACUUCCCAGGGUCCGCUGCUCGUUACAAAUUAAAUACAUUUUAUAAAUGUUCCUUAUCAAUUAAUAAAUUAAUUAUAAACGCAAUAUAAUUUAUCGUCGUGUAAGAUAAAUAACCGUUUGCAUAUGGUGUAACACCGCGUCACUUUAAUAUGGUGUGGUGGAAAUAAACAAGAAAGUGACAAUAUAUAUAUAUAAAGAAUUUGUUAAUUUAAAAAAUGCGGUAGUAAAUUGUGGUACUGUAUUGGAAAUGUUGGUAAAAAAUAACAAAACGGCCUCGUUUAAUCUACAUUCUUUUUUCUAAUAUUUGGCCCUUGAUAAAUUAAGCCCUUCAUCAGUUGUUAUUAAAGUCGAUAUUAGUAUUUAGCAUUUCUCAAUAUCGAAAUAAAUAUUUUAAUAUUCCCCAAACCGCAACACCAGUUUUAUAAAUAUUUGGAAUUUAUAUUUGCUACGUUUGGCCGUGGCCGGCUUGUCGCAAAAUAGCAGUAACGCCGCUGGGAUACCGCUUCCCUCGGGGGAUCCAGACUUGCAAUGUUCGGAAAAUCUCCCGGCUUUUUUUAAAACGCCACAACAGCAGCUGGAAAAGUUUCAAAGUUGAAUUUGUCCCUUUUUAAAGCGGCUUUUGCUCCGAUAUUAAUAUUUCUUUGCAAAAGGCGUUCCAACACGGGUCCAACACCUAUAGCACCCUGUCAAUUGCCGAUUAAAACAUUAUAUAUAACGCUCUGAAACAAAAAUGUUAUUCCAGCCAGCUAAGGAGGCACAGAUUCGUUAUUUUUGGUAAUAAUUACCAAGGUAUCAAAUUUCCUGCAGGGAUUAUGUUCCAGGAUUUUUUACCUUCCCGGCCGCGAAAUAACAGCGUUCCGAAACGACGGGCAGUGGCUAUCGACUGUGAAAUGGUGGGUAUAAAAGCUCCAACAGCAACUGAACAACAAUAUUAAAACCAGGCUGGAUUUGCGUUUGAAGGGAAAAUUUAUUUUAAAGGCAGUCCUUUAUCGCUGCAUUAACCAAUCCAUUAAAAAAACAGCCGAAACCCAAAUGGGAAAUUAAAGAAAUUUGCGCCAAACAGGAUUAUAGCAACCAAUUUAGUGCGUUAAACCUAUUUUCCUAAAACAGCACCCAAAAUACCUGCCGAAAUCGGAAAAUAUAACAAUGUUAAUAGCAACCGUAUUAUAACAAAAAUACCCGCUACCAUCGCCUAAUUACCGCCAAACAAAAAAUUCACCCCGCACUUGGCUAUUUUUCCUCUGCAAAUUAAAUUAUGCAUCCAUUAUUGGCUGUACCUGUGGAAAGCUUUCCGCAAUCCAAAUGCUCGUUCGUAAUUUAUAUAAGCGAUAACCGCCGAACUUCUAUUUGUAGGAUAUACCAAAGGACAGCAGCAGGCCUCCCGCAUGGCACUGUAGCAAAUUGUUAGCACCAAUUGUAAAUUCCCAAUAUGCCUAAUAAGCAGGCAUACUGGUAAAUGGAGCAUUUUGCGCAUUCGUAACCCCAUUUUGGCAACGCAAAUUAUAAACGGAUUAACACAACAUUGCAAAAAACAGGCCAGCUGGUUGGGCUGCGUUUGUGCGAUAUAACCAACCAAUCGGAUAAACUCCUUUAUGCAGGGCUGCGUAAUAAUAUUCAAAUUGUGGGUGGCAAAUUUAUAUAAUACCAUUUUCGUAAAACUAUCAGGACACCAUUAAGGGGUGUUUGGCGUUUUAUUUAAUUAACAACGUCGAGUAGAGGAACUUUAUUCAGGUUGCCAAAAAGGUGGGCAGGACGGAAAACCCCGAUAAAAUUAUUGGCAAAAUAAACCCUGCGAUUGGGUAAUAAACCACGCAAAGAAAAAUAAAGGCCUUUCUGCCAAGACAGCUCGCAUAUAAUUGCCUAUUUUUCGAUGCAAAUCCUACGUUAACCAAUUGUAAAUAUAUCCUUUUAAACCAAUAUAAUACCGCAGGUUGUCGGGCUGCAUUUCGUUACUAACGCCCAAAGCCCUUAACACGGAAAUUGGGAGUUUUUGGCUAUGUUUAAACAUAUACGUAUAUAUAAUAAUCUGCGAGGCGCCCAUUCGGGCUCUCCAGAAAUGUUAUUUAAAAUGGUUAAAACGGUCCAUUAACUAAUCCGACUUUUUUUCCGGCUCUUUGGUAAUUGGUAUAAAUAGGGAAGGGUAAGGUUUAAACGUAAAAUGGGAUUUUAAUAGGCAUAUUUAAAAAAAACAAAAAACACAAACCAAAUACCAUUUAUAUCUCCAAUUUAAAACUCGGACUAUUUCACAAUCCAACCAAGUUUCCCAUUUGCGGCAAAGGAAAAUAAAAAUAGCGUUUCUAACCUGAGAUAAUUUACAAUAUUCCCACCGUAUUUCGAAAAAUGACACGGCUUUCCUCAAACUUUAAUAUGCGGUUUAACAAAAAUUUGCGCUGGUAAUAUAUUGCAGAACUUUCGAGGGCAACGGAUUUGAUUUCGGUGUCGUUUAUAAUUGCCACGAUUAAGGGGGAGAAAACGUGUUUAAAAUCGCGAAAUAUAUAACGCUCGAUUACCUAAUUAGUGACGUUGGUAACAAAAACCUUCAACUGGACUUUUUUACGUCGCAAAAAUCAGUAGCAGUUUUUUAUAAUUCGCAUAUCUUUUAAAACCAUUACGAAUAAAUAUGGAGGAAAAUAAUACUUUGUAAAUCGCGUGCAAACAGUCCAGGGCCUCCUCGCAGCUAAAUUUCUCCAUAUCGAUAUUAAAUUCGCUGGUGGUUUUGGAUAACGUCCCAAUAAUUAAUUUUAAAUCGAAUUUAUUAUAAUAUGCGCCUCGGUUGCAAUUUAUACUGGAGCGAUAUUUAAAUAAAACAGGAUUAAUAAUAUUAAACCACGUUCGUAGUUUAUUUUUACCGGUCCUGUGGAAAUUGUCCGUAUAAUAAUGGUUGUAAUUGAUAGGAAAGCCUUUCAAAUUUUCGAUUAAUAUCCUCAACUCCUUUCGGGCUUUUAUUUUGCGUUUUUUAAAACGCUGCCUAAUUUUGAAAAACCUAAUUCAGGCGUAUUAACGCAUUAAUAUUUAGCAAUCGAGCAAGAAUUUUGCGGCACCAUGCUUAUUAUAUUCGAGAAACAACAUCCUUAACUCCCCUUUUUUUAAAGAGAAUAUUAUAAAACUGUUCGCAAAUAUAGCUAACGAGGUCGAUAUAAAAUUCGGCGAAUUUGGCCCAUGGUUAAAAUUGCUCCCAAAAAAACUCAGCUAUUAUAUUUGGAUUAAAGCUCCCGAACAACUCAGUUCUUCGCGAACGUUAUAUUAAUCGUUUCACCCAUUCCGUUACCUUGGUUUUCGAAAGCCUUUUUGGUCCUGGCGUAGCAAUUUUAAUUUGUAUAAAUAUCUCGCCUUUUACGCUGUUGUCCGAAACCAGGUCGGCGUGCACAAUUGCAGGAAUUUAAUACUUAUAUCCUCUCGUCCAAAUAUCUUCUGAAAAUUGGCUAUUGCAAUAUUAAAUGGCUGCACGGAAUCGAGCGAUUGUGUUUUUGUUCUUUAGGUUAAACGUAUUUUCCCCGCCUAAUUUAAAAAAUUCGUGUUUAUAAUACCCGUUUAAAACUGCUUUGCAAAUUUUAUGGCAAUCCAUAUUUAAAUGCGUCAAAUAUAUGCGGCAAUUUAAAACAGUGGAUCGUAAAUCCCCGAAAGGUUUUAAUUUACUUUUAAAUAAUUCUAAAACCAUUUCGAAAUCUCCCAUCAGGCAGGGAAACUUAUUUUUCACAUGGCCGUAAAAUAGGUGGUUAAAUCGUGUGCGCAACGUGUUAAUACCAUACGUUUCCUGUGGCAAAAUUCUGAAAUUUGAAAACCGAAAGAAAUUCGUUUCUAAUAUGUUGCGUUUUUUAAAUAA
rnacentral:sRNA from 1 species